rnacentral:rRNA from 1 species
AGCAGCCGCGGUAAUUCCAGCUCCAAUAGCGUAUAUUAAAGUUGUUGCAGUUAAAAAGCUCGUAGUUGAAUUUCGGGAUCGACGGGUCGGUCGCGCCUCUGGUGUGUACUGGCCCUGUCGGUUUCUCCCUUCUGAAGAACCGCGAUGUCAUUAAUUUGGUGUCGUGGGAAAUCAGGACUGUUACUUUGGAAAAAUUAGAGUGUUUAAAGCAGGCAUUCACUUGAAUACAUUAGCAUGGAAUAAUGAAAUAGGACGUUUGAUCUUAUUUUGUUGGUUUCUAAGAUCGACGUAAUGAUUAAUAGGGAUAGUUGGGGGCAUUAGUAUUCAAUUGUCAGAGGUGAAAUUCUUGGAUUUAUUGAAGACUAACUACUGCGAAAGCAUUUGCCAAGGAUGUUUUCAUUAAUCAAGAACGGAAGUUAGGGGAUCGAAGACGAUCAGAUACCGUCGUAGUCUUAACCAUAAACUAUGCCGACUAGGGAUCGGAUGAUGUUAAUUUUUAAUGACUCAUUCGGCGCCUUAC